ACGCUGGCGGCGUGCUUAACACAUGCAAGUCGAACGAGAAAGCUCCUUCGGGAGUGAGUACAGUGGCGAACGGGUGCGUAACACGUUGGUGACCUGCCUUGAGGAGGGGGACAACCGUGGGAAACCACGGCUAAUACCCCGGAUGUCUAAACUGUUAGAGGGUUUAGACUAAAACUUCGGUGCCUCAAGAGGGGCCUGCGGGCUAUCAGCUUGUUGGUGGGGUAAUGGCCUACCAAGGCUAAGACGGCUAGGGGGCGUGAGAGCGCGACCCCCCACAAUGGAACUGAGACACGGUCCAUACUCCUACGGGAGGCAGCAGUGAGGAAUAUUGCGCAAUGGGGGAAACCCUGACGCAGCAACGCCGCGUGAACGAUGAAGGCCUUCGGGUCGUAAAGUUCUUUUCUAAGGGAAGAUAGUGACGGUACCUUAGGAAUAAGUCCCGGCUAACUACGUGCCAGCAGCCGCGGUAAAACGUAGGGGGCGAGCGUUAUCCGGAUUUAUUGGGCGUAAAGCGCACGUAGGUGGCGCUGUAAGUUAGACGUGAAAGCUCUCGGCUCAACUGAGAGAGGUCGUUUAAAACUGCAGUGCUUGAGGUUAGAAGAGGAGAGCAGAAUUCCCGGUGUGGUGGUGGAAUGCGUAGAUAUCGGGAGGAAUACCAGUGGCGAAGGCGGCUCUCUAGUCUACACCUGACACUGAGGUGCGAAAGCGUGGGUAGCGAACGGGAUUAGAUACCCCGGUAGUCCACGCUGUAAACGAUGGAUACUAGGUGUAGGGGGUCAUUUAACCCCUCUGUGCCGAAGCAAACGCGUUAAGUAUCCCGCCUGGGGACUACGGCCGCAA
rnacentral:rRNA from 1 species